CUCCGCCCCUGCCAUAUUUACUUCAUCCUAAACUGAAAAUUAUCUCUACCCGUUUUAAAUCUAAUUUUUUUAAAAA
rnacentral:tRNA from 1 species